rnacentral:rRNA from 1 species
AUUGAACGCUGGCGGCAGGCCUAACACAUGCCAGUCGAGCGGAUGAAGGGAGCUUGCUCCUGGAUUCAGCGGCGGACGGGUGAGUAAUGCCUAGGAAUCUGCCUGGUAGUGGGGGAUAACGUCCGGAAACGGGUGCUAAUACCGCAUACGUCCUGAGGGAGAAAGUGGGGGAUCUUCGGACCUCACGCUAUCAGAUGAGCCUAGGUCGGAUUAGCUAGUUGGUGGGGUAAAGGCCUACCAAGGCGACGAUCCGUAACUGGACUGAGAGGAUGAUCACUCACACGGGAGCUGAGACAGGGUCCAUACUCCUACGGGAGGGAGCAGUGGGGAAUAUUGGGCAGUGGGCGAAAGCCUGGUCCAGCCAUGCCGCGUGUGUGAAGAAGGUCUUCGGAUUGUAAAGAACUUUAAGUUGGGGGGAAGGGCAGUAAGUUAAUACCUUGCUGUUUUGACGUUACCAGCAGAAUAAGCACCGGCUAACUACGUG